rnacentral:sRNA from 1 species
CCCAGGGCGUUGCCCUGGGCUGCGUUAUUUCGCCCCUUUGGGGCU